GUUGCAGGCUAAACGGGAGCAUGCAGAAAGACGAAAGCUAUGGUUGCAGAAAAACCAGGAUCUCCUAAGAGUGUUUCUCAGUUACUGUAGCCUUCAUGGAGCCCAGGGUGGUGGUCUGGCCUCAGUGAGAAUGGAGCUCAAGUUUUUGCUGCAAGAGUCACAGCAGGAAACUACAGUCAAGCAGCUCCAGUCUCCACUGCCACUGCCCACCACGCUGCCACUGCUCUCAGCGAGCAUUGCAUCCACAAAAACAGUCAUAGCCAAUCCUGUGCUGUAUCUAAACAACCACAUCCACGACAUACUCUACACUAUUGUGCAGAUGAGAACACCGCCUCAGCCCAGUGUUGAGGACGUGAAGGUGCACACACUUCAUUCACUAGCAGCAUCACU
rnacentral:lncRNA from 1 species